rnacentral:rRNA from 1 species
UGUCUUUAAAUGAAGCCGGUAUGANUGGCAAAACGAGAGUUCGACUGUCUCCUUUAAUUGAUCAGUGAAAUUGAUCUUUCNGUGCAGAAACGGAAAUUUAAAUAUAAGACGAGAAGACCCUAUGGAGCUUAAAAUAAAAACCACUUAUUAAGUAUCCACACCAAAAGGUUAACAAUUAAUAUAAUAAAUAUGGUUAAAUUUUUAGGUUGGGGCGACCGCGGAAUAAAACAAAACUUCCGAGAUGAAUAAACUAUUAAAUUUAAGGGUAACAACCCUAAAGAAUAAAAUAUUUAACAUAAUUGACCCAAUAUUUAUUGAUCAACGAACCAAGUUACCCUAGGGAUAACAGCGCAAUCCUUUCCUAGAGUCCCUAUCGACGAACGGGUUUACGACCUCGAUGUUGGAUCAGGACAUCCAAAUGGUUCANNNGCUAUUAANNGNUNGUUNNUU